UACGUAGGGUGCGAGCGUUAAUCGGAAUUACUGGGCGUAAAGCGUGCGCAGGCGGUUCGUUAAGUCAGAUGUGAAAGCCCCGGGCUCAACCUGGGAACUGCAUUUGAAACUGGCGGGCUUGAGUGCGGCAGAGGGGGGUGGGAAUUCCGCGUGUAGCAGUGAAAUGCGUAGAGAUGCGGAGGAACACCGAUGGCGAAGGCAGCCCCCUGGGUCGACACUGACGCUCAGGCACGAAAGCGUGGGGAGCAAACAGG
rnacentral:rRNA from 1 species